GCAAACUUGGUCAUUUAGAGGAAGUAAAAGUCGUAACAAGGUUUCCGUAGGUGAACCUGCGGAAGGAUCAUUAUCGAAAAAGAACGGCUGUGGGAUGUUGCUGGCACUCCGGUGCAAGUGCACUCCUCGGCUAACUUCUCGAAUCUGCUUCACGAACCCUUGUGAACUUGUUUGUAGGAGAGAGAUCUUUUGGUCGGCCUCCUAUGUAUUGUUUUUCAACAUUUUCACACUAGUAUGUUCAAAUGGAUGUUAUCAAUGUUGGCCCAAGUUUUGGGUUUGCAUAACAUACACAACUUUCAACAAUGGAUCUCUUGGCUCUCGCAUCGAUGAAGAACGCAGC
rnacentral:misc_RNA from 1 species